rnacentral:rRNA from 1 species
GAGAGUUAAACAGUACGUGAAAUUGUUGAAAGGGAAACGAUUGAAGCCAGUCGUACCUUCGGGUAAUCAGCCUUUCGGGUGCGAUUAUGUGGAGUGUGAGGAGCUUAAACACCUUCAUGUUUUGCAUAUUCGUACUCUUGGGUGUACUUGCCCGUGUGGUUGGUUAACAUCAAUUUUGGUGGUCAUAAAAUGACUGGGGGAAUGUAGCUUCGAUCUUGUAUUGAAGUGUUAUAGCCUUCGGUAGAUGUGAUGAUCGAGAUUGAGGAUUGCAACGGAUACCUUUCGGGGCUACCUGUCUGAUCUCUGAUUGUUGCUUUGGUGCUGAAAGCGUGCUUAUAGUUAUCAAAGUCGAUGGUUAAUAGGUUAGAAUGGGUUAAAUUCGUUAAGGAUGUUGACGUAAUGGCUUUAAACGA